UUUAUAUGCUCAUUCUUUAGAAUGAAUAAGUUUUUUGCCAUUUACUAGAAGUUUCCAUGGAGAGGAACAGUGUGAGUUGAUAACCAAAUUUUUUGAGGUCUUGCUUAGGCAGGGCU
rfam:Homo sapiens chromosome 1, GRCh38 reference primary assembly.